GACGAACGCUGGCGGCGUGCUUAACACACGCAAGUCGAACGGAAAGGCCCUGCUUUUGUGGGGUGCUCGAGUGGCGAACGGGUGAGUAACACGUGAGUAACCUGCCCUUGACUUUGGGAUAACUUCAGGAAACUGGGGCUAAUACCGGAUAGGAGCUCCUGCUGCAUGGUGGGGGUUGGAAAGUUUCGGCGGUUGGGGAUGGACUCGCGGCUUAUCAGCUUGUUGGUGGGGUAGUGGCUUACCAAGGCUUUGACGGGUAGCCGGCCUGAGAGGGUGACCGGCCAAAUUGGGACUGAGAUACGGCCCAGACUCCUACGGGAGGCAGCAGUGGGGAAUAUUGCACAAUGGGCGGAAGCCUGAUGCAGCAACGCCGCGUGCGGGAUGACGGCCUUCGGGUUGUAAACCGCUUUCGCCUGUGACGAAGCGUGAGUGACGGUAAUGGGUAAAGAAGCACCGGCUAACUACGUG
rnacentral:rRNA from 1 species